GGAGACUGGUGGAGGGACAAGGGAGGAGGGGUGGGAGAGGGAGCUAGGACUGCCAUGUGAAACAUUCACGUUUCUAAUUUAAAUAAAAACAUAUAUUGAGAAAAAAGAAAGAAAAGUUCCAGGUUCUUUCUGAAGAAUUUCUUUCCCAUGUGCCGGUCUCACAUUGCUCGGGGAGUCCUGCUCACCUGUGAAGCAGAAGAAAGAGCCGUGGACGGUGAGGAGAGAGGAGACAGCAGCAAAGAGACCAGAUUUUGUGUUUUACAUAGAGGGCAUCAGUGUUUGGCAGCAUGAAUGGAAGUGAUCUGUAUUCACUCCUGGUGUGAACUGAGGUAAGAAAAGUCAUCAGGUCUCUAGAACUGAAGUUGCACAUGGUUGUCAGCCUCCACGCGAUACCGGGAAAUGAACCCAUGUCCUUCUAAAGAAUCACGAGCUAUUAUAUUAGAACCCAUGUCCUUCUAAAGGAUCACUAAAGAAUUAACUGUUGACUCAUCUCAACACCCCGUACCCCCAUUCCAUUUCCACUGUCACUUGAGCCCCUCAACACCCGUACCAUAGUACCUCCAAAAUACCUGUUGUAUUUCAUACUGUCUCAUUUCUGUCCACCCUGCAGGUAUCUAGGUUCUGUAUCCAAAAUAACAGUUCUGGAUUAUCAGUGAAACUGCACCUGAGAAAGACAUUCUUUUGAAACCUCUUGGAUUUCAAUCACAGUACUGUGCUAAGGAAAUAAAAGACUCUACAAAUGAA